rnacentral:rRNA from 1 species
GACGAACGCUGGCGGCGUGCUUAACACAUGCAAGUCGAACGGAAAGGCCCUGCUUUUGUGGGGUGCUCGAGUGGCGAACGGGUGAGUAACACGUGAGUAACCUGCCCUUGACUUUGGGAUAACUUCAGGAAACUGGGGCUAAUACCGGAUAGGAGCUCCUGCUGCAUGGUGGGGGUUGGAAAGUUUCGGCGGUUGGGGAUGGACUCGCGGCUUAUCAGCUUGUUGGUGGGGUAGUGGCUUACCAAGGCUUUGACGGGUAGCCGGCCUGAGAGGGUGACCGGCCACCUUGGGACUGAGAUACGGCCCAGACUCCUACGGGAGGCAGCAGUGGGGAAUAUUGCUCAAUGGGCGGAAGCCUGAUGCAGCAACGCCGCGUGCGGGAUGACGGCCUUCGGGUUGUAAACCGCUUUCGCCUGUGACGAAGCGUGAGUGACUGUAAUGGGUAAAGAAGCACCGGCUAACUACGUG